CAGUAGCCGCGGGAAAACGUAGGUGGCGAGCGUUGUCCGGAUUUAUUGGGCGUAAAGGGAGCGUAGGCGGUCUUUUAAGUCUGAUGUGAAAGCCCACGGCUCAACCGUGGAGGGUCAUUGGAAACUGGGAGACUUGAGUGCAGAAGAGGAGAGCGGAAUUCCUUGUGUAGCGGUGAAAUGCGUAGAUAUAUGGAGGAACACCAGUGGCGAAGGCGGCUCUCUGGUCUGUAACUGACGCUGAGGCUCGAAAGCGUGGGGAGCAAACAGGAUUAGAUACCCCCGUAGUCCCUGUCUCUUAUAC
rnacentral:rRNA from 1 species